CCGCCCCAACCAAUGCACUACUGCGGCCUCCACCCAGACCACUGACACCGUCGCCCCCCACCAUCGCAGCUCCUCUGCCGCACCAAGCACCCACUGUUGCUUCCUCCACCCAGACCACUGCUGCCGUCGCCCCCAACCACAACAGAGCGGCACCGCCGAGCACCAAUUGACACGGAGCAUCACAUCGCCGAGCCACUCCACCGGUGACCAUCCUCCUCCGCUGUACGCCGUCGUUUAUCAGCUACCACCCUCCUCGCGAGCUUCCUCCCCCAAGCUGGCCCUCUGCACAAGCUCACCCGAGCACCAAGGAGCUCCUCCGUUGGAAGUCAAUUAAUGGCAAAUGCAGCAAUGGGUUGCGACCACAAGCAAGCUGAGGAG
rnacentral:rRNA from 1 species